rfam:Aedes albopictus isolate Foshan contig108597, whole genome shotgun sequence.
UAGCCUAGUGGGUAAGGCUAUGGAUCGCCAAUCCGGAGACGGCGGGUUUGAUUCCCGU